rnacentral:rRNA from 1 species
UCAAGUAACACGUAGUCAACAUGCCCAGGGACGUGGAUAACUCGGGAAAACUGAGGAUAAACCGCGAUAGGUCACUACUUCUGGAAUGGGUAAUGACCCAAACCUAUAUGGCCCCUGGAUUGGACUGCGGCCGAUCAGGCUGUUGGUGAGGUAAUGGCCCACCAAACCUGUAACCGGUACGGGCUCUGAGAGGAGGAGCCCGGAGAUGGGCACUGAGACAAGGGCCCAGGCCCUAUGGGGCGCAGCAAGGCGCGAAACCUCUGCAAUAGGCGAAAGCUUGACAGGGUUACUCUGAGUGAUUUCCGUUAAGGAGAUCUUUUGGCACCUCUAAAAAUGGUGCAGAAUAAAGGGGUGGGCAAGUCUGGUGCCAGCC